AUUCCAGCUCCAAUAGCGUAUAUUAAAGUUGUUGCGGUUAAAAAGCUCGUAGUUGGAUUUCUGCUAGGGACGAUCGGUCCACCCACUGGGUGUGUAUCUGUGUCGGCCUUGGCAUCUUCCUGGCGAACGCAACUGCACUUGACUGUGUGGUGCGGUAUCCAGGACUUUUACUUUGAGGAAAUUAGAGUGUUUCAAGCAGGCGCACGCCUUGAAUACAUUAGCAUGGAAUAAUAAGAUAGGACCUGAGUUCUAUUUUGUUGGUUUCUAGAGCUGAGGUAAUGAUUAAUAGGGAUAGUUGGGGGUGCUAGUAUUGAGCGGCCAGAGGUGAAAUUCUUGGAUUCGCUCAAGGCUAACUUAUGCGAAAGCAUUCACCAAGGAUGUCUUCAUUG
rnacentral:rRNA from 1 species